AAAAUUCAUGUGUAAUAGGUAAACUUUUUACUAUUAAUUGUUUCAUCUAAGGCAAAUGGUGUAUCAAUACCUUUUUCUGAUUGAAAAAAGAAUUUGUGGUCUCUCCGAUUUAAAAUUUGGUGUCCAAGUGAAUAUGUGAGCAAUACUAGCAUGCAGAGUCAGUUUGUUUUAAAAAAUAGAUUUUUUUAAAUGAAUUUUAUAAAACAUUUUUUUUGUUUUUUUUUUAAAUUGAAAAACUAAUUUUAACAUCCUACAAAAUAAGUAUAUCUUAUUGAUGAUCAAAACAUAAUUGAAAUUGAAUUUAUUUUUUAAAAUUGUAUUUUAAAAAUAUUUUUUAUGAAAAAUUAUUUGAAAUAACAUCAAAAUUAAUUGAUUUUUUUGAAAUUUUUAUAUUAAAUUUUUUUUUAAUAAAAUGAUAAAAUAUUUAAAAUAAUAUUUUAAAAAUAAUUAUUCAAAUCAAAAUUUUAUUUAAAUCUUUUAUUAAAAGAUUUUAAAAAUCAUUUCAAAAGAAAAGGUAAAAUAAACGGAUCCAUAGUCCACUCACUCCUCUACAGCCAAAAUCCUCCUAAGAUUUGUAAUAGAUGAAAAUGAAGAAAGGAAGAAAUUAAAAAAAAGUAUUCAAAGUUAGGGACCAUUUAUACAGAAGAACACAAAAACUACAACAUUUAUACCUGCAAAGGACAAUGUAAAGGACAAUGUAAAGAAAAUAUAAGAAGAAUAUAAGAGGAAACGAUGAGAAGAAUUUGGAAAUUAUUAGAGCUUACUGGCCACGAUUGUGAACAAUUUUGACGGCAUCUUAUUACUUUCCCGAAUUGAGGAUUCAUCUCAUUAGGAUUUUAAAGAUUCAUCUCAUUUAUUUUAG
rnacentral:lncRNA from 1 species